UUCGCAAUGCCCGAAAGGGUGACGAAGCGACGCCGCGUGCGGGAAGAAGGCCUUCGGGUUGUAAACCACUGUUGGGAGUUAGGAAGUGUGGAAGCGUUAAUAGCGCUUUCAUUUGACUAAAGCUCCAGAGGAAGCCACGGCUAACUCUGUGCCAGCAGCCGCGGUAAUACAGAGGCGGCAAGCGUUGUUCGGAAUUAUUGGGCGUAAAGAGCACGUAGGCGGCUAUGUAAGUCGGUUGUGAAAGCCUUCCGCUCAACGGGAGAACAGCAUCCGAUACUGCAUGGCUUGAGUGCGGGAGGGGAGAGUGGAACUUCUGGUGGAGCGGUGAAAUGCGUAGAUAUCAGAAGGAACGCCGGCGGCGAAAGCGACUCUCUGGUCCGAAACUGACGCUGAGUGUGCGAAAGCUAGGGGAUCAAACGGGAUUAGAUACCCCGGUAGUCCUAGCCGUAAACGAUGGGCACUAAGUAGAGGGGUUUU
rnacentral:rRNA from 1 species